GACGAACGCUGGCGGCGUGCUUAACACAUGCAAGUCGAACGGUAAGGCCCUUCGGGGUACACGAAUGGCGAACGGGUGAGUAACACGUGGGUGAUCUACCCUGCACUUCGGGAUAAGCCUGGGAAACUGGGUCUAAUACCGGAUAGGACCACUGCCUGCAUGGGUGGUGGUGGAAAGCUUUUGCGGUGUGGGAUGGGCCCGCGGCCUAUCAGCUUGUUGGUGGGGUGAUGGCCUACCAAGGCGACGACGGGUAGCCGGCCUGAGAGGGUGACCGGCCACACUGGGACUGAGAUACGGCCCAGACUCCUACGGGAGGCAGCAGUGGGGAAUAUUGCACAAUGGGCGCAAGCCUGAUGCAGCGACGCCGCGUGAGGGAUGACGGCCUUCGGGUUGUAAACCUCUUUCAGCACCGACGAAGCGCAAGUGACGGUAGGUGCAGAAGAAGGACCGGCCAACUACGUGCCAGCCGCCGCAGUAA
rnacentral:rRNA from 1 species